rnacentral:lncRNA from 1 species
CGAAUAUCCAUAUUCUGAUUGAUAAUUGUGUCAAGCAUGAGAUUGGGUCUUUUGUGGACUGCUAUGCGGGGUUGUUCAUUGUAACGAGAGUGUUGCCCAAUGGUGCUUUGUAUUUAAUAGAUAUAGAAGGCAAAUGUGUAGAUAUGGCUGUUAAUUCUGACGCUGUCAAGAUAUAUUAUGUAUGAUUUCAUUAGUUUGUCGUCAAUUGCGUUGUUUUUAUUUGGCAUGUUUCAAAAAUAGGAAUGACGAAGGCAUUUUACUCUAUUAUCCAAACACUUUAUCCUUCGUUACCGCUUUUGAGCCUUAAUUUUCUUUCAUACCCCUCUUUUGGAAUUGGAAGUAGGGCUUAAGAAUAAAGAAAUGAAAAAAAAAAGAGGAAAAGAAAAAAAAAGGAAAAAGAGAAAAAGAAGGAAAAAGAGGGAAGAAGAAAAGAAAAAAAAAGAGAAGAAAAAGAAAAGCAAAAGAAAAAGUAACAAAUACGAAGCAACUUUUAUGUCUUGAACUAUGUUCGACCUGAUUCCUUUUAAGGAUACGUAGGCAGCCUCAUGGUUUGAUCUCAUCAAAAUAAAAGUCCAAAAUUCCCCAGACUCAAUGAAACUGGGGCAGAAGUUGUGGUAUUGCGAAAGAUCUGAUUCUAAAAGUUGUAAUUUUGAACCUUGUUAUCUAAAACUAUUUUUGAGCUAGCAUGCCGCCUUUUCUUUCUAACCCUGCCCAAAAGCCUACAUUAUGGUCCAAAGAAAGGCCUUCCGACCAAUCUUUGGGAAAUGCCAAGUCAAGCGAGCUAGAGGUACGAUUCACAUCAUGGGUAACACUUUUAUUCAUGGGCACAAGGAAAAAUAAAUAAAUGAGAGUCUUAUUGGUGAAAACUCUCACGGGCACCGUAGGGCGAUGAAAAGCUAAGAGAAAAUUGUCGCGCCCCAACCUCGAGAGGCGCGACCGGCGCUCAAUCGAGUGAAUCCAACUGAGCAAGCCUUAUCAAACACUUCCUACCCAACUCAAUAUGAAUAAGGAAGCCAUGCUUUCAUUUAUUUAGACGAGGAAAUAUAGUACAUUCAACAUUGUUAGUUCAUUUUAUAUCACAACGUUAAGCCCUAGUUAAGUUCGAAGAUUCCAUACAAUUACACUUUAGAGAUGAAAGAGUUAGAAUUACAACAUAGUUCGUAGACCCACCCAAAACUCGUAUAUCACCCACACAUAUGUCUAUGGAGCCUCUAAAGAUGUAAAAGACAAGUAUGACAAUGCCGACAACAAGGCCCCGGCUAUACCUCAAAAGUGGAAGUCCACAACAAAAGAUGUGCAAUAUAACCCCUUGAAGGAGAAAGGAGCUCACCAAGACUUUGAGAAGAAGGUACUCCGCUACGCACGAUCGACACUAUCCGCAAUUGAGCCACUUACAUUCAUUUAAAAAUGUAGCGCCCCCGGCAAAAGGGACAUUAGUACCAUGGAAUAGUACUAGUAUGUAAAACUAAACAUCAUCUAGUUAGAUAGAACUUUCAUACCAAACAUAAGGAAAGCACAAGUAUAACUCAAAAGCUUUAAACGAUCACAACGUUAUCAAUGUAGAAGAAUCAUACAAUUUUCGCAUUAUGUUUCCAUAGCCUUUAGUUUGGGGCAUUUCAUAUUGUUCAUCAUUGUUCGCUAUACCACCGCUAGCUUGAGCGGAGUCCGAUAUCGACCCGAUGGGCUAGGUUGCUUCACUUGAGACAUACACUUCAAUCACAAUCUCAUUUUUCCCUUUUUAUCCGGGGUUCAAUAUCAACACAAUACCACCAUGUGUGCGUCAUGGCAUCCGAUAUCAGCCCGAUCAGCUAAGCCGCCUUACCAAGGCGUUUCCCUUUUCCAUCAAUCAUCUCAAUUCAAUAUUUGUAUCACAUAUAUCAUUUCAUAGGCACUUAGGGCUACAACUAUCAUGUCAUAUAUUUGGCACUAGGCCACAUUUUACACCAUUCCCAAUUUCAAUGUUAGAUUGGUAAUUUAGGAUAAUAUGUACACAGAAGAGCAAAUAAAGUUGUAAGUGUAGAUGAGACUUCACAUAGAGAACACAACAUAUACAGCUUCAAUCUCAAUUUAAGGUAUAAGCAUUUAAGUACAUGAUUCAUAUUCCUAGCCCCCUUUCAAGUUAACAAGAAUAGCACAUUUAUCAUGUUGAGGCACAUGUUUCAUGCAUAUAAAGUCGCAACCCCAAAUUCAUGUGAAACAACAACUCAUACAACAAUUCAACUCUAAUCUUACCAUAAUUAUGCAAACACCGACGGAGCUCGAUUUCUAAAAGACGGGGUUUUAGCCUUACAUACCUCAACUGAGCUUUCCUUAAUCCUAUAAUGUUCCAGAAUGUUUGCACUUCAAUAUAUGUAAGCAAUAUAGCACAAUCAAACCCAUAAUCAGGAAAAGAUCAUAAUCUAAGCUCACUUGAGCAUUUUAUCAAGCAUUGAGUGUUCAUUAAGGCCUUAUGGUCCUUUUGUGCAAGAUUACACUUAGCCCAUUCCCCAUGCUUCUCUAUUUAUACUUUCCCCAUAUCUUCUAAGAACACAUGCCUGCAAUGCAAUCACCCUUAUACCCAUGAAUUUCCUCACUAAUGAUCCCUUAUAGCUAUGUAUAAAAUAAAGAGCAGAGGUGAUGAAGUCUUACCUCCUGGGAUGAAGGUUUUGGUGCUCCACUUGAUUAUCUUCAAUGUUUUUAACAAGGAUUUGUGGAGCACUUUUGAUGAAAGUCACUUCCCCUCUCUUAGACCCUCCCUCUCACUCUAAAAGGACCAGUAAAUAGGCUCAAAAUGAGCUAUUUCACAAAAUAUGAUGACAGGGGGUCAGGUAAAAAAUUUAGAAAUCUGGAGCACCGACUCAGAUCUCCGAUCGCAUAUACGAUCGCAAAAUUGAUAUGCGGCCCGCAGAAUGGACCACAAAAAUGCUCCCAAAAACUUGAACAAUCUGCCUGGGUAUUGUCACAACUCCUUUUUACAUACCCAAAGGCAUAUAUAAGGGAGUUCUUCAAAUUUAAGUGACAAUCGAAACGAGAUUAUUUAAUCAAAUUCAGAGUCGCCACUUGGGAUAAUUUAUGCUGUCCCAAGUCACCAGUUCAAAUCCCGAAUCGAGGAAUGAUUGACUCUGUUUUAUAAUUUGCGAACACAGAAAUCUGGGUAAGGAAUUCUGUUAACCCGGGAGAAGGUGUUAGGCAUUCCCAGAUUUCGUGGUUCUAGCACGGUCGCUUAAACUAUCAUAAUUGGUCUACUAUCUGAUUUUAAUACAUGUUUUAGCCUAUGGUACAAUUUUAACUUAUUAAACCACUUUUAAUUAUUUUUAGGAAGAUUCAACGUUAUUUAAAAUACGCCUUGAACCAUGCCACAUGAAAUGCACCCACGGUUCGCGACACGUUCUAUUUAUUGUUGUUGAGAUUCGAAUUUGUGUCACAUGAAAUAUACACCCGAAUGGGAAUUAUGUAUCAUGACCAUGUCACGGGAACCAUACCCAUAGUCACAAUAAUUUAUUUAUUAAGAAUUUGCCUAAGGCAUGCUAAUAAUUUUGGAAUCAGUAAUUAUUUAUUAUGAACUGAAAGAACGAAAUGGGCCAACAACGUAUAUUUAAAAGGAUUAGAUUCACUAUAGCUCUUGUUGAAUUAGGCUAAAAAAAAUAUUUGGCCCAUUAUUGAGCUUAUUUAAAGCACUAUAUCCAUCUAGCUCUAAUUCUUAAAGUUUUUAUAUUCAGCUUCAAAAACGAACUUGAACAAGAUUUCAAAACCAUAAAUUAAUAAAGAUAAUAAAUAGAAAAAUCUUUUGUGUUCCAAAAAACUAAUUUGUUCAGCAACUUAAGCCCCAUUUCUAUUGAUGAAUAACAAACAUGAGGGAUCCAAGUUAUAGAUUAUUAAUCUAUUCUGACAAACAAAGCAGUCACUACAAUAUUUAGCAAUAAUUACCAUAUAAAAACAAAAGACAAACUAUACUCAGAACUAAUCAAGUGAAUUAGAGAAAAUGAGUAAAAACAUGGAUAAGAUAUGGUCAAAAAUAGAGACUAGGAACUAAAAUGAAGGGAAAGAUGAAAACAGACCUUUAUUGAUAAUUUUUCUUUUCUAUUGCAUACAGUGGAACAAUGCUCUAGAUAUGCAUGAAAUGACCCAUCUCCGGAGCGCAAACAGAACUUCGAUAGAUCGUAGCUUCGAUCGAACCGCGACUAGAACAAGGAAAACUCACUGGAAAAUCUCGUAACUCCGCGUAUUACUUGGAUCGACUCCGACGUGUAUAUAUAUAUAUUUUUUUUUUGACGUGAAAUUAGUGAUUAUUUUGAAUUGUAUUAAGAGGGAAAUAGGGAAGCUGCAACUGCUGAAUUUGCUAGCUUUGUUGUUGUGUUAUUCCUUGAAGAAUGAGUUGUAACGCUAGAGUUCGAAGAUCCAGGUCUAUGGAGAAAAUAGCAACUGAUUUUGGAGCUUUGCAGUGAGGUGUUGUGUUGCCGCUGUGCGUGAGUAUGUAGGGUGGUGUUGGAGGGUUCCGAUUGGUUGAGGUUGUUUAGUUUUUGUCCACCAUAGAAAAUGGGUAAAAUUAUCUUUAGGAAGAAGAAGAUGAAACUCUGCUUUUUUCUCCCAUUCCCAACUUUGCCCAGAUAUAUUUUCCGUCCUUUUUUUCAGUGUGUGCAUGUGUUAUAUAGAAAGAAGAAACGUGAAAGGAAAGAUUCCCCAGCUCUUUUUCCUUCUUCAGGACGUGAG